UCCUGUUUCUUAUAUAAAAAUAUUUGGUGACAUUUGGAUGAGACUUGGAGGACGAAAGAAAAAAAAAAGGUUUUAUUAGAAAAUAAAAAUUAACAAUGGCGGCCCGCCUGUUGUUUGGGAGUGGGCGUGGCCCGUGACGUUCUUAUUAAAAUAACGCGCUAACUGACAAAUAAAGAAACAAACCAACAUGACGGACUGAAAACAACAACCUCAAAGCAACCCGAAACAAAAAUGAUUGAAGAGUUUGAAGAAGUGCCGAUGUGAGAUUUAAUAGCUGAGUCAUCCAUCGUUAGUGGCCACCUGUUCCUAGCAGGAGGGAGAGUGUGCCAAACAGGUGACAGGUUUCCCAUCUACCUUGCUGACGGGCCCAAACGUCUCUGUCCAUCGCCUGAAAAACUGAUGAGGAAGGUUUUAUUCCUGUGAACCCUUCAGGCUGUGGGAGGAGAAUGUGGAGGUGGGUGACCACAAACAUCCAUGUGCCAGCACGGUGUCACAUGUAUCACACAGGGUCACAUUGUCUUCAAAGCCUGUCGCCUCCAACAUGUGAUACAACUCAGACCUAAAAAAAACGGCAGACAUCUUGCAUUCCUGAGCCCAUUCCACAAAGUACAAUAACUUCCUUGAAUUCUUCGACCCUCGACGGCGGAGCCAGGGCACAUCCUGUUGUCCUCGCAGCACUUCCUGCUCAUGCAGCUCAAUCAGUCUCCCCGUUGCCAUGGCCACUGGAAAACCCUGUACUUAUGCUUAAUAGGCACGCUAGCAGGUAAUACUUAGAUGAUCAUGGAGCGAAGAGUAAAGAGAACUGGCAGGAGUCUCUCAGUCAAUUUAUGUUUGCAUCAGUUUGCAGUUGGGUUGUAAUCUGUGUAACUUCUAAACCUCCAUCUACAGUAUAAGUACGGUGCAUAUCUGCAUGAUAAUUUCAGUCUUGGUUAAUGUGAGUCGGAGCACUAAUAGUGGUUCUGGUUGUUUUUUAACCCAUUACUUUUUACAAAUUUUACUGUUAAAAUCAUCUUAUUCCACACUGUCUGAAAGUAUAACAUACAUAUUCUUUAUCAGCUUGUUCCUUCUCUUCAUUGAAGCUAUAUGAUGUUAGACUCAGUUAAAUAUUCAAACACAAGGCACCGUGUUUUUAUGGCUACACCAACACAUUAAAUGGAAAUAUUCUAGAUGUCGUCAUACAUCAUUUUAUAUAUGUUUCCCCAAAAUUCAGUCCGAGAUAUAUAUCGAGAUAUCUUUGGAAACUUUGUGGUCACGGAUCAGUGGGGUUUAAGAGGAUAAACUGUCCAGUCAUUAUUGUGUGUCAUAUUGUUAAAAUUUUGUUAUACUCAACUUGAA